GCUCCCUGCAAAACCAGCCUGUGUCCUGACAUGACUUAGCACUUCUCAGGUCGUCUUUGAGCUCAACACACACUCAGCCUCUGGCUUACAGAAGCAAAGGCCGAAACACAACUGCAAAACCAUGCCUGUCCUGGUUCAUGUGGAGUACUGUAACGGCUGAGGCUACGGCUCUCGGUACCGGCAGCUGGCCGACACCUUGAGGCAGAAGGUGGAGGACGUGCAGGUGUCGGGCACCACCGGGAGGAGCUCGAGCUUCGAGGUGACAGUAAAUGGUCAGUUGAUCUUCUCCAAGCUGCAGUUAGGGAAGUUUCCCGACUUUGAACAGGUGGUGGCCAAGGUGAAGGAGAUGAGCUGCUGAGGAAUGGUGGAGACAGGUCAGAAGAGGAAGCAGAAGAGUGAUGGCUGCAACCUGUUUUAGCGGAGGGAAGAUGAAACAAAGGCUGUAUUCACACCGCGACAGAAAAAUCUAGUUGGAAAUAGCUCAUUGCGGCACAACUUAUACAAAGAAAAAACAAAAUUGAUUCCAUGUGGUUCUACCAAAUUCAGACAAACAUCAUACUUGUGGAAAACAUUAGAGUACUCACAAAUACAUGCAUAUUAAGUGUUAAUAAAAAUCCCAUCAUGGACAGAAACUAUGCUGUCUCUUCCUUGCUGACAGCCAUGAGAAGAUCAGAGCUGCACUGUCAACUGGAUUAUUCAGCUCUCUGUGAAUACAGCCAAAGACAGGGAUGAUGAUGAGUGACUACUGUAGGAGCCAGGCACUGACCUGCCUUCUGUUUAUGAAUGUACACAUUUAAAAAUGAGGGGUGUGUGCAUGAUGCAAGCCGAGAAGCAUUUCAGGUGACUGGAACCUGAGUAGCCACUCUACAUCUUGCCCGUCUGGCCCGUAUUCAGAAAGUGUCUCUGCGGCUGCAUUCACACAGGAAGAGCAAAUCAUAUAAUUCAACUAAACUAAAAUUUCAGAUUCUUUGAGGUCCCCCCAC